rnacentral:tRNA from 1 species
GUCCCGCUAGCUCAGUGGUAGAGCAUUUCACUUUUAAUGAAGGGGUCCAGAGUUCGAGUCUCUGGCGGGGCACCA